CAAGUGUCACUUUAUUGAGGUUCAACUUCA
rnacentral:piRNA from 1 species